rnacentral:rRNA from 1 species
ACGAACGCUGGCGGCGCGCCUAACACAUGCAAGUCGAACGGAGCUGAGAGAAGCUUGCUUUUCUUAGCUUAGUGGCGAACGGGUGAGUAACGCGUGAGUAACCUGCCCUGGAGUGGGGGACAACAGUUGGAAACGACUGCUAAUACCGCAUAAGCCCACGAUCCGGCAUCGGAUUGAGGGAAAAGGAUUUAUUCGCUUCAGGAUGGACUCGCGUCCAAUUAGCUAGUUGGUGAGGUAACGGCCCACCAAGGCGACGAUUGGUAGCCGGACUGAGAGGUUGAACGGCCACAUUGGGACUGAGACACGGCCCAGACUCCUACGGGAGGCAGCAGUGGGGGAUAUUGCACAAUGGGGGAAACCCUGAUGCAGCGACGCCGCGUGGAGGAAGAAGGUUUUCGGAUUGUAAACUCCUGUCGUUAGGGACGAUAAUGACGGUACCUAACAAGAAAACACCGGCUAACUACGU